rnacentral:rRNA from 1 species
GAUGAACGCUGGCGGCGUGCUUAACACAUGCAAGUCGAACGGAAAGGCUCCUGCUUGCAGGGGUACUCGAGUGGCGAACGGGUGAGUAACACGUGGGUGAUCUGCCCUGCACUUUGGGAUAAGCCUGGGAAACUGGGUCUAAUACCGGAUAGGACGAUGGUUUGGAUGCCAUUGUGGGAAGUUUUUCGGCGUGGGAUGAGCUAGCGGCCUAUCAGCUUGUUGGUGGGGUAAUGGGCUACCAAGGCGGCGACGGGUUGCCGGCCUGAGAGGGUGGACGGCCACAUUGGGACUGAGAGACGGCCCAGCCUCCUACAGGAGGCAGCAGGGGGGAAUAUUGCACAAUGGGCGCAAGCCUGAUGCAGCGACGCCGCGUGGGGGAUGACGGCCUUCGGGUUGUAAACACCUUUCGCUAGGGACGAAGCGCAAGUGACGGUACCUGGAGAAGAAGCACCGGCUAACUACGUG